GACUUCUCCUCCACGUGCCGUAAUAAGCCGAGACUCCCCAUGAUGCAACGUGAAGAAGGAUUUCGGAUGCAGUCCUUUCUGCUCCAGUGCCGCUCUGAGACGAACCGGCGGCUCCAAGUAGUACUGCCCCAAGGAGACGCUCCGAUGGGGAUGGCAGCGAGGUCGAAUGGUCCAAAGCGUCGUCCAAUCUCCUGGAAGGAGGGGCAGUAGCCAGUGUCCCCAGCAAAGAAGAAUCGAUGUUCCGGACCCAAAAUAGACCAGCUGCCCCAUAACGUCUGAGAGAAACAGGAAAUACACGUUGUUAAGUUAAGUACUUUAUUUAAACUGACUAAUGGAAGAAAUACUUGUUUGGUUGUCACUGAUUCUGCUCAGCUAACUAAACACCAAUAUGUUACAGCCUAAUCAGUAAUAAUGACCGUGUUAUCAUCCAGAGCCGAGCGUUUGCUCCAGUGCUGAGACGGCGUGCAGACGAACAUCACGUCGUCGUGACCCGGGACACAGUUCUCGUCCCACCAGUCCAGCUCGAUCACGUUCUCACAGCCCAUUUUCAUCAUCCAGUCCAUGAGACCCAGGGGCACGAACCUGCAACACACGGGAGUGUCAGACACAUAAGAAAUGAAUUGAAGAGAGUGAGAAAUGAGCCCACUGACGGAUCGCUCGUACCAGCGUAGCUCCCCCCCGAAGCGUGCGUUGAGGCUGGCCACAGAUCCAACAUCCAGGUGGUCGUAAUGAGAGUGGCUGAUGACAACAGCAUCGAUCCUGGGCAGCUGAGGACAACAGGGAACAGGGUCAAAUGAAAAGAAGUUCUCUGGGCUCCCACACAUCGAUUCAAAUGAGAUGUCUUCCAAAUAAUCUUAAUUGUCCUGGACAUUUUUUAUUGUAUUUUAGCCCCUUUCAUAAAUCUUCUAUGUAUGAUUAAAUGUGUCAAUACAA